GUCGAGCGGACAGAUGGGAGCUUGCUCCCUGAUGUUAGCGGCGGACGGGUGAGUAACACGUGGGUAACCUGCCUGUAAGACUGGGAUAACUCCGGGAAACCGGGGCUAAUACCGGAUGGUUGUUUGAACCGCAUGGUUCAAACAUAAAAGGUGGCUUCGGCUACCACUUACAGAUGGACCCGCGGCGCAUUAGCUAGUUGGUGAGGUAACGGCUCACCAAGGCAACGAUGCGUAGCCGACCUGAGAGGGUGAUCGGCCACACUGGGACUGAGACACGGCCCAGACUCCUACGGGAGGCAGCAGUAGGGAAUCUUCCGCAAUGGACGAAAGUCUGACGGAGCAACGCCGCGUGAGUGAUGAAGGUUUUCGGAUCGUAAAGCUCUGUUGUUAGGGAAGAACAAGUACCGUUCGAAUAGGGCGGUACCUUGACGGUACCUAACCAGAAAGCCACGGCUAACUACGUGCCAGCAGCCGCGGUAAUACGUAGGUGGCAAGCGUUGUCCGGAAUUAUUGGGCGUAAAGGGCUCGCAGGCGGUUUCUUAAGUCUGAUGUGAAAGCCCCCGGCUCAACCGGGGAGGGUCAUUGGAAACUGGGGAACUUGAGUGCAGAAGAGGAGAGUGGAAUUCCACGUGUAGCGGUGAAAUGCGUAGAGAUGUGGAGGAACACCAGUGGCGAAGGCGACUCUCUGGUCUGUAACUGACGCUGAGGAGCGAAAGCGUGGGGAGCGAACAGGAUUAGAUACCCUGGUAGUCCACGCCGUAAACGAUGAGUGCUAAGUGUUAGGGGGUUUCCGCCCCCUUAGUGCUGCAGCUAACGCAUUAAGCACUCCGCCUGGGGAGUACGGUCGCAAGACUGAAACUCAAAGGAAUUGACGGGGGCCCGCACAAGCGGGUGGAGCAUGUGGGUUUAAUUCGAAGCAACGCGAAGAACCUUACCAGGUCUUGACAUCCUCUGACAAUCCCUAGAGAUNGGACGUCCCC
rnacentral:rRNA from 2 species